rnacentral:sRNA from 1 species
GUCAGGUGUGGUGGUGCACACUUGUAAUCCCAACAGCUUGGGAGGCUGAUGCAGGAGGAUCGCGAGUUCAAAGUCAGCCUCAGCAACUUAUUGAGGUCCUAAGCAACUCAGUGAGACCCUGUCUCUA